rnacentral:lncRNA from 1 species
GGGAUUUGAAUGUCUCCUAUAUUUGCUGUAGAUUUUAUUGAAAUUAAUUCUACGACAGCUUUGAAUGGUAAGUCCAUUAAGUGUAUAUCUAAUUGAUGAAGUAUUGAUUUUAAUUUCAUGUUUUAAUUACAAUGUGUCUAAGUGUUUGACGAUAUGUUAUAGGAGUUUAAUGAAAAGGAGAUUAUCUUUAAUUAUUCAAUGUCUUUAAUGCUGUCAAAAGCACUGUAAUCGGCAUGUUUUUAUUGAUGUUUUCACCGCGCAUGGCUUCUGUUAGAUGUUUUAAUUCCUUAGAAACAUUGAGCUGCUGAAAUCAGUUUAUAAAUUGUAUGUCCUUCAAUUUCAGUAUAAUCUACUAACGUUUAAUUUAAUCACGAUCAAAACAAUUUAUUAACCAUCUGCUAAUGGAAAGAUAAAACUGAAAUGGCUAGUUACAAAGAAAAAAUUGAAUAUCUGAAAAGAAAAUCAUUACAGUUGACCAAUUGUCUUAUUAUUUUUCUGACGGUGCCUGAAAUAAAUUCGGCGUCAUUCUAGAAAACACUUUUAUAGUCAAAUAUAGCCAUUGUACACAUACAUUCCUUUACUGCAUUUGUUAAUAUUUCAGUGCAUUUAUUUGUUAUUUGUUCUCGUGUUGAGAGUUGUCUCAUUGGCAAGCAUACCACAUCUUCUUUUUUUAUUCAAGUGAAUGUUGCUUUUAUUUACUCAUUACUCUAUUAUAUGUUUCACAAUACAAUUUAACUGCUGCUGGUGUAUGUUAGUAUAUUAUGAUGGUUUUAACAGCAGUAUGAAGAAGGAAGUAUUCGAAUCACUGAACUACAUUAUAAUAAAAAAAAAAAGUUUGAUUGCAAUUGAGACAACUAUCUUAAGAGUUAAAAUGACGUGGACAUAAGCCCCAUCUCACCGUAUAGCCUUAGUAUCAUAAUGUUUGCAAGUGACUGCAUGGUUUUCUUUGUCUGGUAUACUCAUUGAAAUGGUAUAAAAAGUUUUAAAAAAAAUUAAAAUAUUCAAAUGUAGUUAUACUAAUGAAACAAAACUUGCACGACUUUCAUUGAUAUGAUAGUUAAGAGAACAGUUGCACAGAAGUUCGGCAUGAGGGCAGACACAUUCGUAUAAUUCAAAUGUGUUAGGAGUGUCAAGGGCGACAAUGAGGCUGCUAUUGGUUUCCCUUUUGUCAAUUACACAAACGCUGUGCUAAAUAUAGAUCAAAAAAAGAAUAAACGAACCAAAAGCUGAACGAAAUGACAGACACUUGUUUCGUUCUUACUACACGCAGGUGAUAAUGUAUGAAUAUUUUAUGAAACCAAGUUAAAUGUAGUGUGCAGUAUCAAAACUAGGAAAACGCUUAUUUGGUUUGACACACAAUUAAUUAUACUUUUUUGUUCAUUCGAUAUCUUUUUUUCUAUUGCUAUCCUUGCCUUUAUUGUGAUAAGAACGUAGAUGUGUCAUUGUGUAGGUACCAUAAUGUUAUCGUUGAUAAAAUUGAGAAUGGAAAUGGGGUAUGUGUCAACGAUGUAUGUCUAGUGAUCGCUUAUGGCACAAUAAUAUUUGAGAUUCGCCGUGAUCAUUUCGAACAAUUUCAAGAUGCGCUGGACGUUUCGGUGUUAAAUAUUGUCGAAUGUCAGAAGUUUACACGUACAACUUCGUGUACAUGUUCAGCAAUGUAAGUGUACCUAUAAGUGUAUAAAAUAACAUGAAAAAAGCAAUUUAUCACACAAACUGAAGAUCGUUUUGUCAAAUUUGUCUCCGUCAUACUAAAUAUGCGAUCAUGGUAAACACUUUUACAACCCUGUAAAUCAUGAAAAUAAGAAUAUUCAAUUGUUUUAAAUUUCCUUAACGAUUUUUUUUUCUUUUAAUAAAAAAAAUUAUAUGCAUUGUUGUAUCAUUGUUAUUUAAAGUAUAUGCAGUCAUUGGUGUUGCUUUAUAUUGGGAAAUAAAACAUCAUAUCAAAACUUUAGGGAGUGGUACCGUGUAUAUGAAACAAAUGUUUGACUUCUUUAAUAUGAAUACUCUGUUAUUGAUUGUUUGCUUUUUUGCCAGUAACAGCUUCGAAUAGCAACUACGAAAACCAACUCAGCCAUGAACACGCUUUGUAAAGGCAUAUGAUUGUUUCAAUGUCUAUGUGUUAUGUCGACAUUUGUUAUGUCACCUUUAAAAGGGAUAUCAAAUUUCUUAAAAGCGACUUUGUCUAGACUAAAAGUUACAGAUUUUGACAUUAUGAAUAAUUCUACACCUAGAUUUAUCUUUUAAAUGUUGGAUUAGUAUGACAAUGGUGACAUUUGUACCUGAAGCAGGUUGAUUAGAUUUUCUAAGUUAUCAGUAUUUGUAUCUCUUGAUUCUUAUCUUUAAAUGGAACUACCUGGAAACGUAUGGCAAAUAUUUACAGUAUUGAUAUUCGCUGACACAUCUCUUAUUUAUUUCAAAUAUGUUGCUUUAAACUGGUAAUAUGACAGGUUCAUCGACAUCUUUAAACACAAGCAUAUGUUGCUGAUCCCAGACAUUCAAGCUUAUCAGAUUACAAUAUCUAUCACCAUAUGAACUUCGCAAACCUGUUAGUCUUGUAAUUAUCGAGGAAAAUCGUUAAACAAUCCAAAUAUAUAAUGGGUCAGAAAACUAUCAAGAGACUUCUGGACAAUACCAUUUAGGGUAGAAAUGUUGUUGCUAUGACAGAAUUAAUAUCAGUUAUGAAUCAUAAAUACAUUUGAAAGUGUUUAAUGGGAUUUAUUUAAAAGUACGUUCACCAUGCUCGUAAGAUUAUUUGCCGAACUAUUCUUAUAAUUAUGACUUAUAAAUAAAGUACAUCGUAUACAUAAAGUACUCAAAUAGUAUUUGUUAGCAGUACUUAUGAUUAAGAUAGAACACUUCAAGUAUCGAUAACAAGUUCGUGAUAAUCGAAUAGUAUACGCUCUUUCCCUAUUAUUUAUACCACAAACAAAAUACUUCAUGUCGUUUUGAAAACAAAACCAGGAAUGUCAUAUAUGUGACAAACAUAACGCAGCCAUAGCUUGAUAAUUUUACCUACAAUUCUUUACUUUUACAAACUGUGACUUGGAUGGAGAGUUGUUUUAUUGGCACUCAUACCCCAUCUUCGUAUAUUUAUUAAUAUAUUGAAAAAAAAUCAAAAUAAGCUAUCUUUUUGGCCAAACUACUCGAUAGAUAUCAAACUAAGUCUUAUAUGUAACAUAGUUACAUACAACAGACUGACUUGUACUUGAUUCGUAUGGAACUCGGAUUUAAAAGGGGGAGUACUGGCAUAGUAAUGCUUUUAUAUUUUGAUAACUGCAUGCACACUAUAAUAUGUCAACACACAAUAAUCCCAACUUUGUCCUAAUAAGCAGCUUAAAUUGAUUUUUGUAUUAAACUUUACUCCAAAAUUAUCUAAUGUCAGAAUGAUAUUAUUAGAUAAAAAAAAGUAUUACGGAAAAUGUUGUAAAAAGAUUUAUUAUAGAUUACGCUGAAUAACUAUGAUUUCCCAGUUGGCUUCAGUGUCAUUUUCAGUAUGAAAAGAUCGAAUAUUUUAAAAGCAACUUUUGCACAUGCUCUGAAUUAAAAUUACAAAAUGAUAUUUAUUUUCAAUUUCCGUUUCUGAGUUUUGUCUGGAUGUUAAUUUCGCAAUAUGUUUAGUACGAAAACGUCAGAAAAAAAUUCUUGUCAUUUCUGCUGAUACAACUCUGUCAAUUUGUUUACUUUACCACACGCUUAUUUCAAGCAAUUAAUUAAAACAAAACCAAAAAGUUAUAUUUUAGUGAACGGAAACAACCAUAAUGUCUGUAUCGUUUAGUUUCAUGUAGAGCGUUCACUUGUCUCAUUGACAAACAUACCACAUGUUAUAACUAUAUCACCAUAUUUUUUUUAAACCAAGCAAACCCUAACCGUAUAGUUGGAUAUAAAAGCCUAGACAUUAAAGAAUUGUAAAAACCAACGGUCCAAUUCAUGACAGUAGAAAAUAAAACAAAGCAAAAACAAAUGACACUAUGAAUAUUACGAAAAAAGAAGCGAAAGAGACCAAAGGGGAAUUUGAAACUUUUAGUCGAAAACAAACUGACAAUGUCCUGAUGAUUUAAACGCAAAUACGGUAUACAAAGUUCAACUAAGAAAUUUAGUCUGUCAAAAACGAACUAUACCAAAAAAAAAACGGGGGAUAUCUUACAUAUUCCGGAGGAGUAAGCAGAUUCUGUUGCACAUGAGGAACCCGUCAUGUAUAAGACCUUCAAUUAAUUGCUAGCACUAUUACACCUGUAAAAUUCUAUAUCCCCCGAAUCUAUUCAAAAUGCAAAAAUUUAUAUAGCAUGAAUUGCAUAAGAUCGCUCACUAAUUUUAAAUUCGCUAAGGGGCAUGAAAAAAAAGAUAUAAACUGAAAGGGCUUUGAUGAAGAGUUGGAUUGUAUACUUUUUACUUUUUUAUUCCCACAUUAGCACUACCUAACAAGACACCCCAUGUGUAUAUGUUUCAGAAUAUGAUCUGUCAUUUAUUGUGGCAAGGUUGUUUGGUUUUUUUUUUUCAUAUUGUAUUGGUUUCAAAAUAGCGUCUACUGCAUUUAGUAAUGUGUUUUGUAAAAGUAAAGCACGAAUACAGGGACCAGCUGCAAAAAUAAUUAAAUGCUUAAGUCAAUAAAAUACCGGAAAAUUUAUAAAUUACACCUAUGGUUAGUUUUGUUGUGACAACAAAUUCAAUUUCCGUUAAAUAUUGAUGACUAUUAUGAUUUAAAUUUGAGAUAAUGCUCACGAGAGAAUAUUUUAAAAAUCAUUAUAAUUUCACUAUAUUGAUAGUUAAUUAUACGGUACAUGUGCUUCCAAUAAAUUUUGCAUAUUAAUUGGUUUGUAAUCCUAGAAUAAACAAGCCUACUCAGUAUAAAUGUAAGUGAACCUUAAUAUAAAAAAGAUGUGGUAUGAUUGCCAAUGAGACAACUAUGCACAAAAGACCAAAAUGACACAGACAUUAACAACUAUAGGCCUUCAACAAUGAGCAAAGCCCAUACCGCAUAGUCAGCUAUAAAAUGCCCCGAUAAGACAAUAUAAAACAAUUCAAACGAGAAAACUAACGGCCUUCUUUAUGUAAAAAAAAAUGAACGAAAAACAAAUAUGUAACACAUAAACAAACGACAACCACUGAAUUACAGGCUCCUGACUUGGAACAGGCACAUACAUAAACAAUGUGGCGGGGUUAAACAUGUUAGCGGGAUCCCAACCCUCCCCCUAACCUGGGACAGUGGUAUAACAGUACAACAUAAGAACGAACUAUAAAAAGUUAAGUCUUUAUAUAGGGUCGGGGUGAUAAAUUAUUUAUAACUCCCAAAUCAGUUGUAGGUCUGGUUUUAUUUUACUUUUAAAAUUCAUUUCUUAUUUCUAAUACUCAUAGUCAUAUAAGUUUAUAACGCUUAGAUAUGACACCUUCUUUAAAUCUUCCGGUUGAUACACGAUUUGCUCUUGGCUACAGCUUAUGUAGGUUUCUCUUGUAUAUACCUACAUCUUCAGUUUUUCUAAAUCUUUAGACCCGACCGUUCUUUUCUGAAGGUAAUCCGAUCAAUCGCUUAGAACGUAGAAAGAUCGACCUUUUAUUCACUUUUUGUAUUUCAAAUAGAUCGAGUGUUAUUUAAAAUUUGCAUUGUGAAUUGUUUAGCACAUAUCUAUUCCUACGUAUUGCAUGAUAUUUUGGUGCUUGACUUCAAGCAGAACAAUUGAUAUGAUAUUUAGGACAAUGACAUUUAAAUUCUUCUAUUCUUUCAGUUCGUCAAGACGAUUUUGUCCAGAUAUCCAUUUGUAAUCAUGAAAAUUCUGUGUUAACCUGUGAUUCCUUUAAUGAAGAGUUGUCUGCUGAAUUUCCUUUGAAUAUUACCUCACUGAUUUACUCUAAAUAUUACCUCAUUGUUUUAUUCUGAAUAUUACCUCAUUGUCUUAUUCUGGAUAUUACCCCAUUGUCUUAUAUUUUAAAUACCUUUGCACAAUUUAUCUAUAACACAAUUUAGGAAUCUUAACAAAGCCAGAAAAAUAGUGUAUUAUUUUUAUUUGUGUGUUUUCUAGCUUUGAAUAAUUGGUAUUUGUUAGUUUGUAAAGCUUACUGUUGUGUGAUAUGAUUAUGGUAAUGAACUUAAUCGUUUAUAUAUAAAAUGUAUUCUAGAAACCAUGCCUUUCUGGCAGCUGUUUGACAACAUGAAAUAUGACAUUUUCUUCUAAUAAAUAUUUUAAUUAUGCAAAUGAUGACCAUAUGAAAAACGUGGCAUUCAAUCUGCAGAAGUUUGUACUUUUCAUUAGCAAUGAAAAAUUACUAUCUCAAAUAACAGGGUAAUAUAUCAUUUUCAAUCCCAUUAUUGAAUUUUCUUGUUUGAGCUUGUAUUUUGACAUAUUUUUAACUAAACUAAUUUUAAUGAGUUUUUAAAACGUUAAAAGCAUUAGUACCGUGGCUUUAUUUCAUAGUCAGGAUAUUCCCCCAGUGUUUUGUAUUGAUUUGCAAUCAAUCUGUGAAAUAUAUCUCCCCUUCGUCAUUUAUGCCUUUCAUUAGCAUUUACUUGAUUGGAAACGCCACUUUAAACGUUAAAUAAGAAAAUAAUGUCCACGUAACUCGAUCUCGCGUGCAACGUCCUGGUUUGCAAACUAGGAUUUCAGCAUUAGAAUAAACACAGGAAUGAACAUGUGAGGUUUCCGAAACACUAAUUAAGUUUUAAAAGGUUAUACAUCAACCCGGAUCGGAAAUUAUCUUGCAAUUUUCUCCAAAAAAAUCAUUACAGUUGAUAACUGUAUUCACCAGAGUAGGACCAAAUAUCUUUUGACAAUAAAAACAAAUAACAUUUAUGUAGAAACAUGCUUGAUUGAUUGGAAUAGUAAUCUUUUGGGAACGGAUCUGUUAUAGAGCUUUAAUUGUGGUGGAGCGCUGCCUUGCAUGCAAGCAUACCUUGAUUUACAAUGGUGUGUAAAUACUUUUUUUCUUUUAAGCAGUAAUUGAAAAUUUUCUGUCCUACCUGACGAAUCAAUAAUUUUAUCAGAUUUAAUGUUUUUUUCAAUAAACUAUUUGCUGUUCGUGUUUCUCUGUUCAUAAUAGCAGUAUAAACGACAAGUUUGAAGAUGUCUAGAGUCAUACGUGCCGGAACAAAUCCUGCUGAAAUUUCUUAUCUUUGCAUUAGAAUCCAUAGACUGAACUUUUCAGAGAUAUAAAGAAGUAAUAUCACUAGUUUCUAUGGAUCCAAUAUAUUCAUUGAUGUAGUAAAAGGUUGCCAAUUGAUUUCCGACAUUUCAAAUCAAAGGAUAAUGCUUUACCAGGUAAUUCAGCACUUGAGAAACCUUAUGGCCAUUGUCUUAUUAUAAAACGUCCAGAUUAGCUUUAUUUAACCUUUCUAUUAGGUUUAAAUUGACGCAUAUGUCAUGACUAAUCAUUAUAACAAUGUCUAUUUGUAAUUAAAUUCUAUAACUUCAUCAAAACACCAGAACAACUAAGAAAUUCUAGAUAAAAUUGAACGCAAGAUUUUCAUAAAAAUAACUUCUGGUACAAAUCAGGAGAAGUUUCAAAUCCGAUUGUGAUCAAUCUUUUUGCAGUGUCAUAUUAUGUAAUUGUAACCGUAGGCUAAACUUUCUGUAAUGUUAAGAGAUUGCGUUCGGUGAAAACGUUCUGUUAGCUCUGUUGUUGUGAAGAUUUUAAGUUGUCAGCUUUGAUUGAUAUUGUAGUUCCAAAUAGAAUAUUUAACCUAAUAUCAAAGAUGGCUACAUUUGUGUGUGGCUUUUAAAAUGUUUAACCUGAUAACAUUUAAGCUUGGCUUCAACGAUGUUUAAACUAGUACCAAAUAGAGUAACAUGAUUGUGUAUUUGGCUUUUGUAAUGUUUAACCUAGUAUCAAAUUGGUAACCCAGUUUGCUUGGCUAAUGUUUGAACUAGUAUCAAAGAGAGUAACAUUUCUGUUUGGUUUCAACAACAUUCAACUUGGACAAUACAAACUGAAAGCAAAACCGAAAGAAAUCAAAUCAAAGCUGACAAUAAAUAUCUUUUUAUAAGAAAUCAUAUAUGUUUUGUCUGAUAUCAGGACCUUUUUAUGCUCUACUAUGCAUUAAGCGUUAAGUUUUCUUUAAUAACGAUAAAGGUAUCAAUUGAAAUGUUUGGCUUCCGAGAAGCUCGAGAGAGGUCAUAAUAUUUUGAAUUCAAAACUUGAUUCAAACAUUGACAAAAAAGACGUCAAGAAUGGCAAAAUCCGGGCAUUUUGAUAUUCUAUUUCUAGUGAGUCCUUUUAAAAAAAUGUGACAGAAUUCUCUUAUAUUCUAAUUUCUAUGUUUACAUAAACCAUUACUACGCGAUACUUUUAACAGCCUGAUUAAUGAUGUAGAUCAUUUAUUUACACUUCUAUAAAUCGACUCAACAAGAAUAAAUUUACAUGUUUUUGAAUAAUAUUAUGUUUGUGCAUACACAUUUUGCUUAAAAUUCCAGAAAUUUUAUACAGACAAUUCAUUUCUGCCAGAGCCCAGACUGAUAUAUAGCAAACUUGAUAUUUAAAGUGUACUCGAAGAUCAAAAGUAAAUUAAAUAGUCUUAAAAGAAAAUGAGCUAGAUUUUAUUCAAGCCGCGGACCAUUGUUUAACAAUGCUACUUCAUUUGAUGAAAAAUUGAGAAAAAUAGUCAAUUCAAAUAUCAUUUUAUAAUGCUUCGUAAUAUUUAUUGGUAGAAUCAUUGGCUUUGAUGUGUUACAUAAUAAUGGUUAUUUACUGUUAUAAAAUGAAUAUGAUUCAAGAUGAAGUUUUUAUUAGUAAUCUGAAAUGUUUGUAUGGUUCCCUGGGUACAGUCAUAUUGGCUAUUAUUUCCGUUUUUAUCUGUCCAGUUCUGAAUAUUUGUUCGUUUUUGUCUGAUUGGAAAGGGUUGUCAUGAUAAUACGUUAUAAAUCUAUUGAAGAAAAAAUUUCAAACUGUUCUUUCAUCUUUCUUCCGUGAGUUUUAAAAAGAGAUGCGGGUAUUGACAAAAAAAAAUUGAUAGAGAAGCUUUCGUAUGAUCGGUUGAAAAUCUUUUAGUAUUUAUCAUGCUAAGUAUACAGUUAUAUUCUUUUGUAACAUACAUUAAAUACAUGUACGUUAAAAAUGCAGUUGGUUUGUUCAGAAAGCUGUAGGUGUGAUAAGGGACCUAUUUGAUAAGUAAUUUUUUCUGGAUGUUUUAAAUUGAUACAUACAUGUAGCAUUGUUUUCGACAAAACGAUAAAGAAUUAUUUUUGUUAAUCAUUUCUGACACAGAGAUGACCCUUACAUCUGAAAUAAGUAAACAUAGAGAGGUUUAGGUCAAAUCUUCUGUUCAUGAAAAAAAAGUCAAAAAAAUAUUUUGAUAUUAACAACAUAUUAAUUAUUAUUCAAUUAAUUUUUUUCAAGCAUGCGUGAUAUAUUUAUAUGAAAUUUUGCUAGUUUAGACCUGAUUAAAAGAAAGCAGAUUAAAUUUUCAAACAAGUUGUUGUUGGGUUUUUAUUAUUAUUUUUUUUUUUUUUUUUUUUUUUUUUUUGCUUUCAUUAAUCCUGGACUCAUUGUAAAUAAAGGCAACAGUAAAAGAGAUCGUAUUAUUGUACAUCUCUUCUUCUGACACGUCUUAAUGGAGAUUAACCCAGUUCCUAAUAAAAACAUCUAACUUGAAAGACUUAUUCCACUGUCAUUAUUUAACUUAAAGUCAGAUUAUACAUCGCGGUUUUUGUCACGUAUUCAACAUUAAUGUUUCAAAACAUUUUAAGAGAACAAAAACAGAUAAUCCAAUUUUCCUACUACCUACGUGUAUUAAACGUAUUCGAUCUAAGAACUCAUUUGUUACUGUUCCGGACCAUAUGAGUAUUUGGACCAUACGCGUAUGGUCAUGACCAUAUGGGUAUAUACACAUAUGGUCCGACCAUACGCGUAUGGUCCGACCGUACGCGUAUGGUCGGGGUAAUUAACAAGUUUACAGUUUUCAGGUAUAAACCUUGCAGUUGUCACGUCAUUAAAAAGACGAUAUCAAAGGUCAUUUCAUUUUUAUUAAAUAAAAAUAGCAGUUUCAUGCAUUUCAUUUUACUCACUAGUCACUAUAGUAAACACAUUUUAUACAUAUAGUCAUUACCGACUUGUUGUUACGAGUGCAUGGCAAUAUGUCGACAUAGGUAGAUAUUUUCAUAAUUUCUUAAUGACUGUUAUGGAAUUUCCCGAGAACUCGGUAUCACUAAACGCAGCUGAUAAGAAGGCUAGCUUUACGCUCGAAUGCAAAUGAUGUAACUGCAAAGGAUCGUGAUAUUCAAGACGUGCAAAUGCAGAAAAAGUUAUGGUACCGUGUGGAAGUAAAUGUCAUUCUAAGCGUAAAUUAGAAUACAAUUCGCGAUGAAAACUAAACAUUACUAACUGUGACAUCAAUAUUUGAUUUUUAUAUAGCCUCUGAAUUAUAAAAUUAAUACAUUUUCAUGUAAACAUCAUUGGUUGUUUUUAGAUAAAGUUUAUUGAUAUUUGAAAAAAUACCUAUAUGAUCCAAAUACUCAUAUGGUCCGGCCCGUUAAUAACCAAACCAGUAUAUAUACUCAUAUGGUCCGACCAUACGCGAACGGUCGGACCAUACGCGUAUGGUCGGACCGUAUGAAUAUACGCAUAUAGUCAUGACCAUACGCGUAUGGUCCAAAUACUCAUAUGGUCCGGAACAUUACCAAAAUUUCUGUUUUAUUCACCAAAUAAGGGUUUCCAAAUAUGAUAAACGUGAAUACCUUGCUAUUUUCUUAGAAAGGUGCAGUGGCAUGAAUUUUAUCAAUUGAAUUUUAAAUUAUAUAGAUUAAACUCUCUUCCAGAAAACUGUAAGAAUAACCUAUUCAAGAUUUCGUCUGUUUCAACCAUUAAUUAAGUUAAUUAAGAGACCAAGCAAAUGCGCUACGUUGUAACAUGAAGGAUACCAUUAUUUUGUAUUUGUUCUAUUCUUGUACAUUACUGCAGUAACGGAUUCUGAUCCAAUAAAAAAAAUAGAUAGGUCAACUUUCUUUUUAUGAUCUGAUAAAUCGUAUUUCCUCAAGCAUAUAUAUAAUGCUUCUUUAAUGUAAAUUACUUAGGUCACAUCACAUUACGCUUCAUACUUUCUCCUUUUUAUAUUUUCUCAAAAUAGAAUAUCAAAUGAAGUGAUUUGAUCUUUUUAAUUUUAAUUAUGAUUUAAAACAACAAGUAUGCCAGUACUAAUACUACAAUCAAUAGACGUUAUUAAUUUACAGCACAAAACAGUCACGUAAACCUUGAAAAUCGUACCAUCGUCGUCAAUCCUAACGUUACUUUGGUAUCGCUGUUUUCAAAAUCCGAAACGGUGCACAUCGCAUUUCUAGUAUAAAACAUUGUCGAAGUGACCACAGUUUCGUAGAGUAUUGUAGAGGCACAAGUCAGCGGACAACUAAUGUACAUUAUCGAUUAUCAAAGCACACAAGACGACCAUGUUAUAUACUCGCAAUUUCCGUAUACAUACAUUUUCUAUGCUUAAAAAAAAGCAUUGCACACAAAAAGGUUUCUAAAAGAAAAACAAAAAAUACUGGACAGUUUGAAAUUUUAUUUUAAGUCAACAUUCUGUAUCUCAUUAGAAAAAACGAUAUUAAAAUUCAUCUGAAAAUUUUCCAUAGAACUAUGCUAUUUUUCUAAAAUUAUAUUGAAAGGAGUUGCUUGGGUUAAGCAAAUGAGAAAAUGUCAGAACUCUAAUUAAUUUUUACAUGAGUUCCUUAAACUUUCCAAUGUCACACUAAAAUGAGUAUAAUUAUUAAGUCAUAUUUGUUUGAUAAACCGAUGAUAUAAUACAGUAAAUUGUGGGCAUAUGAUUCAUAUCUUAAGUAACACUUGCAUACACUGCUAUAAAGUCAUGUUUUCCUCCAUCAAUUUAACAGUUUCCAGUCGUAACUGAUCUGUCUUCCUUCACUAUUAACAUAGAUUAGCAGAAUUCUGGUACAAUAAUUACUCAUUUGUGAAAGCUGUACAUUGUCUUGUGGUUGCUUACAUUCUCGUUCGUUGGUCUCUGGUGUUUAGCUGUCUCAUUGGCAAUCGUACAACAUCUCUUUAUUUUCAUAUAAGGCAAAAGUGUCUGUUGGUGAAUAAAUAUAUGAAAAGUUAUAGUCGAGAACACCCGCUGCAUACUUCAAAAAUGAUGUUAUCCGACCAAGCGAGCAACGUACAAAAUGUAAUGUUUUCAACAAAACGGUCAUUGUUGAUCUGAAACAUAUCCUCUUUGGAAUGAAGGGAUAUGACAUACAUCCUUUUUCAAAUACAAAUUUUUUUUUAAAUACAUGUCUGGUGGUCGGACCCUUAUGAAUAGGUCAUCUGUUAACAAUAGGCAUUUAUAAGAAUUUCGUGUAUUUCUGUGUGGGGUUAACUGGUAAAUUCUCGAGCACCAAUGUCAAGUUGGCAAACUAUUACAGUAAUAACACUUAAUGUAUAAAAACAUUGAAAAGAACUUAAUGGAAAUACACAGAUAACUAUGCCAUACCUUCGAAUGAAUUAUAUGACAGUUUAUGUUGUAUAGUAGUACAAUAUCUGCACUUAAAACUGAGGGACUAUAAUAGUACUCAAGCUAUGUAAUCGACCACUCGGAUGUAAUAAAAUAGGCAUAUAAAUAGUAAUAAAACAGAAAAAUCACAUUCAGUUAUCGAUGUACGGAACGUUGCUAUAAUAAAACGCUCCUAAAAUAGUAUGUAGGUUUUAAAAUGUAAAUAUGUGCAUGCUUUAACAUGUUGUAGUACGCGUAGGGUAUAAGACAAUAAAAUAGUGCAAUAUAUUUAAUUAUGUAUCAAAGACAUGAUUUAUUCAUUGACAUUUGCAAGAACAUUUUGAACCGUUUGUCGUAUAUUACGGUCAGAUGAUUUGUGAUUUCAUUUGAAAUUUAAGUACUCUUAGACUGAAUUUGUUAAAACUAAUGGCAUUUCAAUAAUUGAUUUAGAAUCGAUACUUCAUUCCGUGAUUUAACAUCUUUAAAUUACUAUUCACUGAUAAUAUUAAAUGAAUCAGCUGCCUAAAAUAGUAUCACGGAACCUAUUCUGAUAUAUUCAUAUACGACUAAGAUUUUGAUGAUGAUGAUGAUUGAAAUGUUUAACAUUCAGUGGCAAAUUAUAAAAUUAAUUUGGACUAGAACAUAUUAAAGUGACAUGAAUGUCAACUAUGCUUUGUAUAAGACUGCUAGACUUAGUCGUUUGCGGUCCGCAGGAAAACAUGUCACCUUACUUAUUCCAUUCUGUCUCUGGCCCAAUCACCCUUCGCUUUUACUUCUAAAUGAAGAAGCAUCAUAUAACAAUGUUAAGACAUUGGUUUCACACUGACGGGGAUCCAACUUACAAGCUCUAGCGUUUAAGAUGAGCACUCCGAUAUUACCGAGAUGUUUUUAGAAAAUGAAUUGAACAAAAUGGUCAAGCAAAACACACUAUGUUGCUUUAGCAUAAUUAUUGGUUUAACAAAAAAAAAUAACUUGUAGUUUUAAGAACAGAAUGUUUUGUUUUGAUCAUUUUAAACAGUCUUACAAAAGAAGUUUCACAAGUUGUGGAGUUAUCACAAAAUUUCACUAUCACAUUAGGUGAUUAACAUGCUGAAAGCUAGAGUGAAUUCUUAAAAUAGUAUUCAAAUAGUAAGAUAAUAAUCCUAUGUGAAAGGGGAAAAUAAAAUAUAGAACUGUAUUUUACAAAUAUGAGCUCGACUUGUUCUUUCUGGAAUUCACCAAAAAAAAUGAUAUAAGGACUAGGAUAUAUAACAUCGGAAUGGGACUCGAGUGAUUACCUUUUGUAUUUCAUUUUUCUAGUGGUAUACGUAAGUCUAUGUUUCACGUUUCAUAUUAUUUAUCGUAGUCUAGUAUAAUAAUCAGAAUAUAUGGAUAUCGUCAGUAAUCGUCGGUGACUCCUUCUUGUCUACUGAGAAUUCGGUGUAUGUGUCAAUCGUCUAUCAUGCUGAUUUAUUCACAGAACGUCUAGACUCGUGCCGAUUUAGCAUUUGUAAUACGGUGUAGUCGACUAGCCGUCUUUGAAAUCCGUACGGGGACUUUUAGAGGUAGAUAUUCGGUUGACUUCUGUUGUUGUGUUGCUUUCUUAUUGACGAAAACCUCAUGAGAUAAAACUAAAGAAAUGUGGUAGUAUUAUAUAUGAGACUAUUGUCGACCAAAGACCACGGAAAUGAACAAUUUCUAUGUAUAUCUCUUUAAGAAGUGAUAAACUAUUGUAUUAUGUUAGGCAGCAGAAAAAACUAACAUUUUAUUUUUAAUAUCAAUAAUGGUAAAAGUACUGGCAGUAUCAGUUUAUUUUCUAUCCUGACAUUAAACAAAAUUUGUAAUGGUAGUUACAAUUUAUUUUAUAUUCCUAAAAUUUCAAUAAGGGAGCUACCAUUUGAUUUUUAUGGGGGGGCUAGGAUGAAAAAUUUUUUGUCCUGCUUUUUUUUUUAGUUGUAAUCUCUGUCCUGCCUUUUUAUUUUUUACUCUAUUCGGUCCUGCCUUUUUUUUUACUAGUUUAUCCUGACUUUUUUUACAAAAAUUGUCAUCCUGUCUUUUUUUUUUAACAAGUUUCUCAUCCUGCCUUUUUUUUUAACUCAAAACUCCUGUCCUGCCUAUUUUUUUCAAAUUUCAUCCUAGCCCCCCCCCCCCCCCCCCCCAUAAAAAUCAAAUGGUAGCUCCCUAAAUUUGAAAUGUUACAUUUCUCUUGAGACCAGAAUCCUUGAUGAGCCCCUGUCAAUUAGUGUCCGUCAGUGGUCAGUUUAUUGACGUUUCCGUUUAUCAUUGUAAUAAAAUGGAAAAUUCUAAAUUUGUCACUUUGUUCAUCAAUUAAUACUAAUGAGACUUUUGUGGAUUGGGAAACGUAUCCGAUUCCGAUUUUAUUAUCCUGAAUAUGGAUUUAUUAGGGAUUACAAAACCAACCUAAUUCAGCAAUAUUAGAUCGGGGAACCAGUUAAUUGUAUACAAUGACCACAAAAUGGAGCGAUUGCCUGAACUACAGUAUGCUUAUAAGAUUAUACAAAAAUUAAAGAUCAAGCUUCUCCUAUAUAUAUGUUUUCCUUUUUCCUUUUUUUUAAUGACAUGAGAUUGAAGUUGAAUUCCUAACAGACAUUCAUAAAUAUAACGUGGAAUGCUCCGGUUAGUUGUGAAACCAAGAAAAAGACUCUACUAGCUGUUUAAAGAAACUAUAUGAAAUUAUGAAUUUUGGUGUUUUUUCCUUCACAAAAAAUGUUAGCAUAUUUUUUUUUAAUCUUUAUGCAGUUUAAAAAAUUAAUCGAUAAAAAAAAAAUGAAUUAUAUCUUGAAUUAUAAGAUAUUUAGUUUUACCCGUUUCUUUUGUAUCAAAUUUACUUAACUAUUUUUUAUCAACUUUGUUUUCGACCGUUUUAGUCUUAACAUUAGCAAAUUGUAGAAUGUAUACAAUGUGUUUAUUUGGUAGCUAUUGUUUUUAUUUAGCGUACUGUCAUCUUUCUACAGUCAUAUAUUUAUCUUUACAAUUGUGAGAAGAAAUAUAGCUUAGGUGAAGGGAUAGUGACACAGCAGCACAACAACUAGAUCUUCUUUCAAUAAAUCAAAUCAACCCAUACACUAGUAAUUAGCCGAAGAAAACUGUCGUUUGAACACACUUUUAACAAGAGACCGGAUUACUUAUUUAUUACAUUGUGUCUCGUAAUAAAAAAAAACAGAAAUAAUCAGCGAUAAACACAAUGUUGAGGCCCCUCAUGGGGGGUCCUAGUAAUCACAUAAUCACCAUUUUUUUGCCAAUAUAAUCACAUAAUCAUUAAAUAUUUAUUUUAGUAAUCAAAUAAUCAUAAACUAAAAAUAAGUCCUAGGUAAUCAAAAAUCAUGAAAUAUUUGGCCAUGAGGGCCCUCAAUGUUAUUGGCAUGAAUGUGGCAGAGUUUACUACAAACUUCCUUAAUUUGUUCAGUGGUGAAUCAAGUGAAAAUAAUAAAAACAAAUCUACUUUAAAUGAACUAAAACAUAGGACAUAAGAUCAAAACUUCAAAAGAAAGUACAGCGUCAUGAAGGUAGUGUAGUAAUCUUGAUGCGUUUAGCAACCCAGUGUAAUGUUUAUGGAUUAUUUUUUUCACUGCUCUUCAAUUUGUCAUUGGUUAGACAAUUUUCAACAGUUUUGAAUCGAGUGAAAAUUAUGCGCAUUAUAUAAACGAAACGUUCAUAAGGAUCUGACUGUAACAUUAAAAAUUGAAAUAAGUUUACAUACGAUUGCAGAAAUCAGUUUUUGAUGUCUUUGACACAGUCAUCCGCGCCCUAAUAAUGUUGUUUUCCUUAAAAACAAAUAGAACAACAGACGGGAAUUAUAAGAUUUAGCAAGAUUAUACAAUUACAAGGUUAACCAAUACGCACAUGUUAUAUCGAAAAAUACUACAUUGUAUAAUGAUAAAACAUUUAUUCUUCUUGAUUCUUAAGCUUGUUCACAUAAAUGUAUCAAAUCUACUUAGUUGUACAAAUCUUUAAUCUCAUUGCGAUUACAUUUUUUUUGUAAAUCUAAAUAGGGUAUUGAUUCCGCGAGCAGUUUACUUAUGGUUUCUUCUUAUUAAAAAAAAUCAAUUGCUUGUUCAGACAAAUGAUCUCAUGAAUUAUUUGACAUAUAUAUUUUUUUUUCAUUCGUCUUUUUUUAAGAAAACUUGUUAUAUGAUCAAUUUCAAUGUUGAAUACAAAACACGCACGGAUCAUCGUUAUCAUUAAUUUAUCUCAAAUUCCUAAAGGAAUUCUAAGAAAUGAAAAUCGAUUAAUUUCCACCUUUGACAGUCUUGGAUACAUGAAAUACAUUAGGCCUAAUAGUUACUUAAAGAGUUUCGUUAUUUUCCAAUCGUAUGUAAUGACUUCUUUCAGUUUUUCAAUGUCUGUUUAGGUACAUCAUUUGCAUAAGAGAGUUAUUCACAAGCUUUUUAAGUCUUCAUUUCAAUAACUAAAUUACGUGACGAACUAGACUCCAUGUGUGUACACCGUCUUGAAGGAAGGAUUUGUAUAGUAAGACUGUAAAAUCCUUGAUUGUAGUAAGUGAGCUACAAAAUAAUUUUGAGCAGAUAAUUCGAGUCCUGUUUUAAGUGAUAUAUGAGAUAUAUUAAGCAACAAAAACAAUAUUUGACCAAACUUUUGAAUUGCAAUGAAGGUUAAGAAGAUAGUACGAUACUUAAUAUACAAGAUAUUUUAGGAGCAAUCAAAAACUGUAAGUCAGAGAUGACAGACAUCACACCACAAAGACCUUAAAUAAAAGAACAAAAACAAACAGUAAAAUAGAAACAGAACUAGAGAAACAUUUAAAUUAAGUAACUUAAACCCGAUCUCAAUUUUUAUACAAACUCAGUGUUAUUAGAUUAACAAUUUCAUAAUUGCCUCAUAAAAACUGCAUUUCAAAUACUUCGAAUUUAUCAAGUAAUAAAACUGUUUUCAAAUAAAUACAAAACAGAACACAAGAAAAUCAGGAAAAUGUCGCCAAAGAAAAUUAUAUCAUCUUUUGAAGAAGAAAGCUUACAUUUCCAUUACAUAUUUUAGAAUUUGACAACUAACUUAUAAUUAAAACAUAUAUAUAUAUAUUUCCUCAAACUGGAAGUCCAAUUAACAAACAAGAUUUGAUUGUAACAGAAGAGUUGAACGACCUUUUGAAUUUAACGUUCUUGAGCAUUUUAUUUAUGUGCCAUCCUCCACUGGAAAAGUCAUUUCCAGCUUCACAAUUUACUUGUCAAUACAAUUGAAUUCUAUUGAUAGGACAUUGGUCUGACAGUCAGUACGAUGGUAUUUACGGAGAAAACCUGGCUGCUGUAAUUUAUUUGAUGUACGUCUCCAGUACGUUAGGCUAUAACGCAUUUUCAUUAACUGAAUAUUGAAGAGCUGUUUCGGAUUUUAUUUUUAGCUUUACAUAGACAGCUAUUUCGGGCUGACUUGUAUGAUUUGAAUAGUAUGGCUUUAUAUAAAUGAUUACCGAUAAUAAAUUUUAUAUCAAUGUAUGUUUUUUUCACAAAUCACUAAGACAGGUUUGAAAUCAAUCCAUUGAAUCUGUUCUAUCAAUUUCUGUUUGUCAUGUGGCUCUUUAAGUAAUUUUUGUUCAUCCAUGGCUAUUAAAAAAAUUAAACUAAAGCGUUCAUGAUGAAACUAAAUCCAAUAAAGCGUUUCGGGUGCACCAAUCUUUAGUUGCUUUUUUUUUAUUUUGAUUCCAGAUAAGAGUAUUCCGUUUACGUUAUAAUAAAAACCUGAAACUUAUCAAGAUGAAAAUUGAAACCAAAUUAUAACUUUUGUCUUCUAAAACAUAUUACUGGAAACUAUAUUUAAAGGGAAAGAAGAAUCUAUAGAAAGGAGAAACGUUCAAUUUCAGGCUGAUGUAAGUCAGUGAGUAUCCGUUUCAUUUGCAAUUCAGUACUAUUUGAUUUUAUUCAUAUGACGUUUUUAUGUUAGUUUCGUCUACAGAUUGCUACACCGCAGGCAAUAGAAAGUGAUUCCAUUAUAUACAUCAAAACAACAAUAAAAUCUCAUAAAACAAAAAUCAAUACCGUUUAUUCAAUAUUUAUCAACAUUUUACCAGCGUAUAGUUCUACCGUGUAAAGUGCAGGACGUCUCUUCAUUAAGUUUCUCAUAAAUGGAAGCAUCUUUAAAUGAUUAUUGUGACGUCAUAACCUCGUGACAAUGUCGCACCUGAGAUGUUAAUUUCAGAAUCAAUUUUUCAGUUUUUCAGAUUGAACCAUAUGUUGAUUGUCAAUUCAUUUGUCGGUCGUUGCUGAUGAUGGAAGUCUUGUCUACUAAUCAAGCCUAGAAGGACUAUGAAAUGACAUUGUUAAAACUUGUGUGUGGGACAAAGACUCUUCCUAUACGUAACUAAUAGAGACACGUGCCUUGGAUAUUCUAUUUCUAAAGGUAAGUUUUAUUUU